UACGUAGGUGGCAAGCGUUGUCCGGAUUUACUGGGCGUAAAGGGAGCGUAGGUGGAUAUUUAAGUGGGAUGUGAAAUACCCGGGCUUAACCUGGGUGCUGCAUUCCAAACUUGAUAUCUAGAGUGCAGGAGAGGAAAGGAGAAUUCCUAGUGUAGCGGUGAAAUGCGUAGAGAUUAGGAAGAAUACCAGUGGCGAAGGCGCCUUUCUGGACUGUAACUGACACUGAGGCUCGAAAGCGUGGGGAGCAAACAGGAUUAGAUACCCUGGUAGU
rnacentral:rRNA from 1 species